UUUCCGUAGGAGAACCUGCGGAAGGAUCAUUACAGUGUUCUCUGCCCUCACGGGUAGAAACGCCCACCCUUGUGUAUUAUAUCUUUGUUGCUUUGGCAGGCCGCCCUCGGGCACCGGCUCCGGCUGGAUCGCGCCUGCCAGAGGAAACCCAAACUCUGAAUGUUAGUGUCGUCUGAGUACUAUCUAAUAGUUAGAACUUUCAACAACGGAUCUCUUGGUUCUG
rnacentral:misc_RNA from 1 species